UACGUAGGGGGCAAGGCGUUGUCCGGAAUCAUUGGGCGUAAAAGAGCGUGUAGGCGGCUUGGUAAGUCCGCUGUGAAAGUCCAGGGCUCAACCCUGGAAUGCCGGUGGAAUCUCGCGAGCUUGAGUCCGGAAGAGGCGAGUGGAAUUCCUGGUGUAGCGGUGAAAUGCGUAGAUAUCAGGAGGAACACCCGAGCGGAAGGC
rnacentral:rRNA from 1 species